UCUCUCCAUCAUGGACAUCUUCAUUAAGUAUGUCUGGUUUAGGCAACACAUUCGUUGAUGUCAUGCUACGUGGCUAAUGACACCCAAGCUAAAUAUCUCUUCAACUCUUUUCUAUGUGAACUCAGUUUGCUUCUGUGCAUGUAUCCAUAUGUCUAUCCCGAAUGUCUGUCUGUCUGUCCCUUCAGACACCAACAGGAGCACACUAGAGACCCUGUUAUCCUCCAUGUUCUACUGCACGUCUGCAAGACCAUGCACAACUCUGUAAAGCUGUGAACCAGCUGGCCGUGGAGACAAGCCGUGUGAUGAGGGGGAGCCACUCCCAUAAGACUGCUGCUUUUGUCAGGGUGAGGACACUAGAAUUCAUCAAGCGCCAGGCCCAGCAGCCAGACAUGGUUCAACACCUCACCCUGCAGUCUAGGACCUGAGGCCAUCACAUUUACAUUACAUUUAAGUCAUUUAGCAGACGCUCUUAUCCAGAGCGACUUACAUCCCCUGUCCCAUACAUCUACAGGGCCUUCAGAAUGUUUUCACACCCCUUGACUUUAGCAUUUGGUGAUACAGCCUGAAUUGUAAAAUGAUUACAUUUGGAUUAUUUUGUCACUGGCCGACACACAAUACCCCAUAAUGUCAAAGUGGAAUUGUUAUUCAAAAUGUUUACAAAUGUAUAAAAAAUAUAAAGCUGAAAAGUAUUGAGUCAAUAAGCAGUCAACCCCUUUGUUUUGUCAAAA